UACGUAGGGGGCAAGCGUUGUCCGGAUUUACUGGGCGUAAAGAGCGUGUAGGCGGCCACGCAGGUCCGUUGUGAAAACUGGAGGCUCAACCUUCAGACGUCGACGGAAACCGUAUGGCUAGAGUCCGGAAGAGGAGAGUGGAAUUCCUGGUGUAGCGGUGAAAUGCGCAGAUAUCGGGAGGAACACCAGUGGCGAAGGCGGCACUCUGGGCCGGUACUGACGCUGAGGAGCGAAAGCGUGGGGAGCGAACAGG
rnacentral:rRNA from 1 species